rnacentral:rRNA from 1 species
UAGGGAAUCUUCCACAAUGGACGCAAGUCUGAUGGAGCAACGCCGCAUGAGUGAAGAAGGUUUUCGGACCGUAAAGCUCUGUUGUUGGUGAAGAAGGAUAGAGGUAGUAACUGGCCUUUAUUUGACGGUAAUCAACCAGAAAGUCACGGCUAACUACGUGCCAGCAGCCGCGGUAAUACGUAGGUGGCAAGCGUUGUCCGGAUUUAUUGGGCGUAAAGCGAGCGCAGGCGGAAGAAUAAGUCUGAUGUGAAAGCCCCGGCUUACGAGAUUACG